GACGAACGCUGGCGGCGUGCUUAACACAUGCAAGUCGAGCGGUAAGGCCCUUUCGGGGGUACGACGAGCGGCGAACGGGUGAGUAACACGUGGGUGACCUGCCCUUAGCUCUGGGAUAAGCCUGGGAAACUGGGUCUAAUACCGGAUAUGACUCCAUAACGCAUGUUGUGGGGUGGAAAGCCUUGUGCGGCUAGGGAUGGGCCCGCGGCCUAUCAGCUUGUUGGUGGGGUGAUGGCCACCAAGGCGACGACGGGUAGCCGGCCUGAGAGGGCGACCGGCCACACUGGGACUGAGACACGGCCCAGACUCCUACGGGAGGGCAGCAGUGGGGAAUCUUGCGCAAUGGGCGAAAGCCUGACGCAGCGACGCCGCGUGGGGA
rnacentral:rRNA from 1 species